CCUACGGGAGGCAGCAGUGGGGGAUAUUGCACAAUGGGGGAAACCCUGAUGCAGCGACGCCGCGUGGGCGAAGAAGUAUUUCGGUAUGUAAAGCCCUAUCAGCAGGGAAGAAGAAAUGACGGUACCUGAGUAAGAAGCACCGGCUAAAUACGUGCCAGCAGCCGCGGUGAUACGUAUGGUGCAAGCGUUAUCCGGAUUUACUGGGUGUAAGGGGAGCGCAGGCGGCACGGCAAGCCUGAUGUGAAAGCCCGCGGCCCACCCGCGGGAGUGCAUUGGGAAGUACCGGGCUGGAGUGCCGGAGCGGUAGGCGGAAUGCCUAGUGUAGCGGUGAAAUGCAUAGAUAUUAGGAGGAACACCAGUGGCGAAGGCGGCCUACGGGACGGUGACUGACGCUGAGGCACGAAAGCGUGGGGAACAAACAGGAUUAGAUACCCUGGUAGUC
rnacentral:rRNA from 1 species